ACGAUACCAAACUUUAUGAAGGACCUUUUAUUCCCUGCACUAUUUAAUAGUGUAUUUUAAAGGUAUAUAUGUGCCCACGUAGACAUCAUAAAAAUUGCAUCAUUAUAAAUAGUAAUGUAUCCACGUGGGCACAUAUAUACCUUUAAAAUACACUAUUAAAUAGUGCAGGGAAUAAAAGGUCCUUCAUAAAGUUUGGUAUCGUAA